CAUUUCAGGAGAAAGGUUGUUGGCAGGCAAUGCAAUGAAACCAGAAUGUUCAAGGGACAGAUUUUACUGUCCUUUGGAAGCUAAAUGUCCCCUACUGGCUUGUGUUUUCAAUUUUUGGUCACCAGUUGCUUGUGCUAUUUUGGGAGGUUUUAGAAAGUUUAGAAGGGAAGAGAUAGCUGGGCCCAGGAAGUAGGUCCCUGGUGAGAGUAUGGCUUCCCUGCCUCCUCCUCCUCUUCUUUGCCACAAUGACGUAAGCUGUUCCAUGCUGCGGAUCCCCCUCGGCCACAAUGAACUGAUGCCCCUAAAACCAUGAGCAAAGAUCUAUUUCCUUCCUUAAACUGUCCCCUCAGUAUCGUGGUCACAGAGACUAGGAAAUUGAUGGAUCCAGCCUCUUAUACCUGGGUGUGGGAAACGUGGCUCUGAGUCUCCUCGGAGCCACAGCAUCCAGAGGACAACACAGGCGCUACCCUGCUUGCUUCCGAUCCAGUGUUAUUGCUCCUUCCCAGGCUACAGGGAGAGCCAGGUUCUGCUCAAGUAGACUGAGUACCUCGGCAUGGGGUUGAGAGACCCCAGACUGCAUAGAUCACCAAGGAAAAAAGAGGAAGAGGUGGAACAGAGCCAGGAGCCGGGGCAGAUGCAGAUAAAGCAUGUUGGACUCGGGUACAGAGUUUCAUUGUUAGCCUUCUGUCUAAGCUCCACCCUCACAGUUACCUGGCAACAGCCAUAUAUGUUCCGCCCCACAGUCACCAGUCAUGGAUCCCUUCCAUUUCUGCCCCAGGAAAGAAUCAGGGCUGAGGAAUGGGGACCUUGUCUGGAGCCACAUUUCUCUUUCCACCACGUUCGGGACAGCGCCACGCUUCUGCAGGUUGACUCAGAACCUGACAGGGUACUUGGGAAAUGGCUCACAGGGGUGACCAGAGCUUUGCUUUCUGUAGAGACAGCAGAGGCCAGGGCACCCUCUAUGAGUCCCCUGUGCGCAUCCAUCAUGCCCCGAAAUGUUUCAUACCCACAAUGCUCCUGGGCAGGUACUGUUGAUCCUUCAUUUCACUGAGGAAUACGAGGCUCAGAUGUUAAGAUCAAAUCAUGUCUUCAUAGCUCAUGCUCCUCAACUUGGUCUGGAAUUUUCAGGGUCCCAUGACUGACAAUGGCCUAAUGGUCACACAGGCUAGGCCCCUCUCUUAACCCUUCCUGUUCUGAAUUCUCCAUAGUAGAGCUCGAGAGACUGAUCCAACCCCCUCCCUUCCGCUCAAGGGCACUGUGGCCCAGAGGGAUGGAAGAUCUUGAGUCUGUAACCGAAUCUGUACCUGAAAUGGCAUCGCUGGGUCCACGGCCCUGCCUCUGGUGCUGGCAUCCUCGGUAGGCAACAGCUCGCCCUGGUUGCUUUUGCGACGACGGACCACUGCCUUCCCAGACUAUAGGGAGAUCCAGGUUCUAUUCAGGUAGACUGAGUACCUCGGCAUGGGGUUGAGACACCCCAGACUGCAUAGAUCACCAAGGAAAAAAGAGGAAGAGGUGGAACAGAGCCAGGACCAGGGCAGAUUCGGAUAAAGCACCUGGGAUACAAAGACUCAUUGUUAGCAUUCUGUCUAAGCUCCACCCCCACAGUUACCUGGCAACAGCCAGGUAUGCUCCGCCCCACAGUUACCUGGCAACAGCCAGGCAUGCUCCACCCCACAGGCACUGGCAUCUUCAUGGGAGGCAGAUGUAGUACUUCUCCCUGAGAAUCCUCCAGCCAUCAUUGUUACAGGAAUGUGCUGCGGGCUAGAGAGGUGGCUCAGUGGUUAAGAGCACAGACUGCUCUUCCAGAGUUCCUGAGUUCAAAUCCCAGCAACCACAUGGCGGCUCACAACCAUCUGUAAUGGGAUCCGAUGCCCUCUUCUGGUGUGUCUGAAGACAGCGACAGUGUACUCACAUACAUAAAAUAAAUAAAUCUAAAAAAAAAAAGAAAGAAAGAAAGAAAGAAAGAAAGAAAGAAAGAAAGAAA